CAGUAGCCGCGGGAAUACGAAGGGGGCAAGCGUUGUUCGGAAUUAUUGGGCGUAAAGGGUGCGUAGGCGGCUUGACAAGUCUUGUGUGAAAUCUAUGGGCUCAACCCAUAGUCUGCACGGGAAACUGUCGGGCUUGAGAAUGGGAGAGGUGAGUGGAAUUUCCGGCGUAGCGGUGAAAUGCGUAGAUAUCGGAAGGAACAUCAGUGGCGAAGGCGGCCAUCUGGGACAACACUGACGCUGAGGCACGAAAGCGUGGGGAGCAAACAGGAUUAGAUACCCGCGUAGUCCCUGUCUCUUAUAC
rnacentral:rRNA from 1 species